CAUGAAGAGAUGUUGAAAGACGGUUUCGGCUGUCACUGUGAGAUGGGCCCGCGGCGCAUUAGUUAGUUGGUGGGGUAACGGCCUACCAAGACCACGAUGCGUAGCCGACCUGAGAGGGUGAUCGGCCACACUGGGACUGAGACACGGCCCAGACUCCUACGGGAGGCAGCAGUAGGGAAUCUUCCACAAUGGACGAAAGUCUGAUGGAGCAACGCCGCGUGAGUGAAGAAGGUUUUCGGAUCGUAAAGCUCUGUUGUAAGGGAAGAACACGUACAGGAGUAACUGCCUGUACCUUGACGGUACCUUACCAGAAAGCCACGGCUAACUACGUGCCAGCAGCCGCGGUAAUACGUAGGUGGCAAGCGUUGUCCGGAAUUAUUGGGCGUAAAGCGCGCGCAGGCGGUCCUUUAAGUCUGAUGUGAAAGCCCACGGCUCAACCGUGGAGGGUCAUUGGAAACUGGAGGACUUGAGUACAGAAGAGGAAAGCGGAAUUCCACGUGUAGCGGUGAAAUGCGUAG
rnacentral:rRNA from 1 species